CAUGGAAGUCGGAUCCGCUAAGGAGUGUGUAACAACUCACCUGCCGAAGCAACUAGCUCUGAAAAUGGAUGGCGCUGGAGCGUCGUGCCUAUACUCGGCCGUCGACGGCAUAGUGGGGCCAGUCGUCGCUCGCGGCGGCCGGUCCCGGCAAGCCUCGACGAGUAGGAUGGCGCGGCGGUGUGCGUCGAAGGGCAGGUCGCGAGACCGCCUGGAGCCGCCGUCGGUGCAGAUCUUGGUGGUAGUAGCAAAUACUCGAGAGGGGCCCUCGGGGGCUGCCGUGGAGAAGGGUUUCUUGUGAACAGCCGUUGUCCAAGAGUCAGUCGAUCCUAAGCCCGGGGAGAGAUCCUCGUACCACGGGCGAAGGCGUUUUCGAAUCGCCCUUGGGGCGAGAGGGAAUCCGGUUCGUAUUCCGGAACCCGACGCGGAACCGCUCCCUAGUGUUCGGGGCUCUUUUGUCUCGUCUGGGUAACCAGAAUGAACUCGAAGAAGCCGCCGGGGGAUCUGGGUAGAGUUCUCUUUUCUCUGUGAGCGUUGUACGUCCCUGGAAUCCUCUAGCCGGGCGAUAGGGACGCGAGCGCGAAGAGCACCGCUCGUUGCGGCGGUGUCCGUGAUCCCCACGCGGACCUUGAAAAUUCGAGAGAGGGCCACGCGGAGUCUUCGCGUCGGUUCGUACCGAUAUCCGCAGCAGGUCUCCGAGGUGAGCAGCCUCUAGCCGCAUAGAAUAAUGUAGGUAAGGGAAGUCGGCAAAACCGAUCCGUAACUUCGGGAUAAGGAUUGGCUCUGAGGAGCGUGGCUGCCGGGUUCGGGUCGUCGUAGAAGCGUAGGCGUUUUUGGCGACACCCCGGCCGUCGCCCGUGCGCCCGGUCUUCGGAACGGGAGCCUCGAGGCGGCCGCGGGCCCGUCGCCGUCCGCCGACCGUGGAACCACCGAGCUUCGGUCGCUGGCCGCGUCGCGGCCGGCCGACCGCCUUGGUGUCGGUUCGCCGUCACCGGGCGGUCCGGCCGCCGCGCCGUCGGUCGCGUAGCCGGAUCGACAGCCAUGUAACGGUCAACUCAGAACUGGCACGGACCAGGGGAAUCCGACUGUCUAAUUAAAACAAAGCAUCGCGAUGGCCCGGGACGGGUGUUGACGCGAUGUGAUUUCUGCCCAGUGCUCUGAAUGUCAACGUGAAGAAAUUCAAGCAAGCGCGGGUAAACGGCAGGAGUAACUAUGACUCUUUUAAGGUAGCCAAAUGCCUCGUCAUCUAAUUAGUGACGCGCAUGAAUGGAUUAACGAGAUUCUCACUGUCCCUAUCUACUAGCGUUGCGACAACAGCGACAUAGUUCAGACGUGUGUUUCCACGUUCGACGUUGCUCCGAAGGGCGAUCCUAGUGGUGAUAACUGGCGAUUAACUUAACUUCGAAAGUUUACAGGAAUUUUUUCAAAAAAGUGUUCAAAAAGUUUUGGUAUAGUGCAUAGUGCAAUCUAAGUCGGGUUUCACGGAAGUUCGCUUAGCCGUUCGUGGUUAAAAGCCGAAAGGCCACUUUUACGUGUUACAGGAUAGGACCUUACCGUAAGUGGAGGGGAGAGCUCCGGUCGGCAGUCACGUACACCGAGCAAUUCCUGGAAUCGGCCGCCCGUCUGGAAAUUCGCGACACGUGUAAGUGCGUAUCACUGUUCAUAAAAGCGCAUAAAAUAAUUAACACGGCCGCCGUGAAUAUUAUUUGGGUAAAAUCGUAAAUAAAAUCGUGUUUUAAGUAAAGCCUAUAAUUUCGUGAUAUACGUUAAU
rfam:Acyrthosiphon pisum strain LSR1 Contig7649, whole genome shotgun sequence.